AUUGAACGCUGGCGGCAUGCCUUACACAUGCAAGUCGAACGGCAGCACGGGUGCUUGCACCUGGUGGCGAGUGGCGAACGGGUGAGUAAUAUAUCGGAACAUACCCUAGAGUGGGGGAUAACGUAGCGAAAGUUACGCUAAUACCGCAUACGAACUAAGGUUGAAAGUGGGGGAUCGCAAGACCUCAUGCUCAUGGAGUGGCCGAUAUCUGAUUAGCUAGUUGGUGAGGUAAAGGCUCACCAAGGCGACGAUCAGUAGCUGGUUUGGGAGAACGACCAGCCACACUGGAACUGAGACACGGUCCAGACUCCUACGGGAGUCAGCAGUGGGGAAUUUUGGACAAUGGGGGCAACCCUGAUCCAGCAAUGCCGCGUGAGUGAAGAAGGCCCUCGGGUUGUAAAGCUCUUUUGUCAGGGAAGAAACGGUCUACUCUAAUACAGUGGGCUAAUGACGGUACCUGAAGAAUAAGCACCGGCUAACUACGUGCCAGCCGCCGCCGUAAGAC
rnacentral:rRNA from 1 species